rnacentral:rRNA from 1 species
UGAGGAAUUUUGCGCAAUGGCCGCAAGGCUGACGCAGCAACGCCGCGUGGGUGAAGAAGGCCUUCGGGUCGUAAAGCCCUGUCAGGUGGGAAGAAAGGUUUCGUCAAGAAACGGAUGGAAUUUGACGGUACCACCAGAGGAAGCACCGGCUAACUCCGUGCCAGCAGCCGCGGUAAUACGGGGGGUGCGAGCGUUAUUCGGAAUUAUUGGGCGUAAAGCGCGAGUAGGCGGGGAUGCAAGUCUGAUGUGAAAGCCCUGGGCUUAACCUGGGAAGUGCAUUGGAAACUGCAUUUCUUGAGAACUGGAGAGGAAGGGGGAAUUCCCGGUGUAGAGGUGAAAUUCGUAGAGAUCGGGAGGAAUACCAGUGGCGUAGGCGCCUUUCUGGACGGUUACUGACGCUGAGACGCGAAAGCGUGGGGAGCAAACAG